ACGAACGCUGGCGGCGUGCUUAACACAUGCAAGUCGAACGGAAAGGCCCUGCUUUUGUGGGGUGCUCGAGUGGCGAACGGGUGAGUAACACGUGAGUAACCUGCCCUUGACUUUGGGAUAACUUCAGGAAACUGGGGCUAAUACCGGAUAGGAGCACCUGCUGCAUGGUGGGGGUUGGAAAGUUUCGGCGGUUGGGGAUGGACUCGCGGCUUAUCAGCUUGUUGGUGGGGUAGUGGCUUACCAAGGCUUUGACGGGUAGCCGGCCUGAGAGGGUGACCGGCCACAUUGGGACUGAGAUACGGCCCAGACUCCUACGGGAGGCAGCAGUGGGGAAUAUUGCACAAUGGGCGGAAGCCUGAUGCAGCAACGCCGCGUGCGGGAUGACGGCCUUCGGGUUGUAAACCGCUUUCGCCUGUGACGAAGCGUGAGUGACGGUAAUGGGUAAAGAAGCACCGGCUAACUACGUG
rnacentral:rRNA from 1 species